AACGCACGAGACCUGCGGACCUGCGGAAGGAUCAUUAAAGAGUAUCGGAGCUCUCGGGUUCCUACUCCCACCCUAUGUUGACUUUAGACGUUGCUUUGGCGGACCGGCAACUCUGCCACCGGCCUAGGCUGGAUAGCGUCCGCCAGAGGAUCUUUAAAUUCCCUUGAAUGUGAAUUCUGAGUCUUUGAAAAUUGAAUCAAAACUUUCAACAACGGAUCUCU
rnacentral:misc_RNA from 1 species